UUUGGUUAAGUUAGAAAGGGCGCACGGUGGAUGCCUUGACACUAGGAGUCGAUGAAGGACGGGACUAACGCCGAUAUGCUUCGGGGAGCUGUAAGUAAGCUUUGAUCCGAAGAUUUCCGAAUGGGGAAACCCACCAUACGUAAUGGUAUGGUAUCCUUAUCUGAAUACAUAGGGUAAGGAAGACAGACCCAGGGAACUGAAACAUCUAAGUACCUGGAGGAAGAGAAAGCAAAUGCGAUUUCCUGAGUAGCGGCGAGCGAAACGGAACAUAGCCCAAACCAAGAGGCUUGCCUCUUGGGGUUGUAGGACAUUCUAUACGGAGUUACAAAGGAACGAGGUAGACGAAGCGACCUGGAAAGGUCCGUCGUAGAGGGUAACAACCCCGUAGUCGAAACUUCGUUCUCUCUUGAAUGUAUCCUGAGUACGGCGGAACACGUGAAAUUCCGUCGGAAUCUGGGAGGACCAUCUCCCAAGGCUAAAUACUCCCUAGUGAUCGAUAGUGAACCAGUACCGUGAGGGAAAGGUGAAAAGCACCCCGGAAGGGGAGUGAAAGAGAUCCUGAAACCGUGUGCCUACAAAUAGUCAGAGCCCGUUAAUGGGUGAUGGCGUGCCUUUUGUAGAAUGAACCGGCGAGUUACGAUCCCGUGCGAGGUUAAGCUGAAGAGGCGGAGCCGCAGCGAAAGCGAGUCUGAAUAGGGCGUUUAGUACGUGGUCGUAGACCCGAAACCAGGUGAUCUACCCAUGUCCAGGGUGAAGUUCAGGUAACACUGAAUGGAGGCCCGAACCCACGCACGUUGAAAAGUGCGGGGAUGAGGUGUGGGUAGCGGAGAAAUUCCAAUCGAACCUGGAGAUAGCUGGUUCUCCCCGAAAUAGCUUUAGGGCUAGCCUUAAGUGUAAGAGUCUUGGAGGUAGAGCACUGAUUGGACUAGGGGUCCUCAUCGGAUUACCGAAUUCAGUCAAACUCCGAAUGCCAAUGACUUAUCCUUAGGAGUCAGACUGCGAGUGAUAAGAUCCGUAGUCAAAAGGGAAACAGCCCAGACCGCCAGCUAAGGUCCCAAAGUGUGUAUUAAGUGGAAAAGGAUGUGGAGUUGCUUAGACAACUAGGAUGUUGGCUUAGAAGCAGCCACCAUUUAAAGAGUGCGUAAUAGCUCACUAGUCGAGUGACUCUGCGCCGAAAAUGUACCGGGGCUAAAUACACCACCGAAGCUGCGGAUUGAUACCGAAUGGUAUCAGUGGUAGGGGAGCGUUCUAAGGACAGUGAAGUCAGACCGUAAGGACUGGUGGAGUGCUUAGAAGUGAGAAUGCCGGUAUGAGUAGCGAAAGACGGGUGAGAAUCCCGUCCACCGAAUGCCUAAGGUUUCCUGAGGAAGGCUCGUCCGCUCAGGGUUAGUCAGGACCUAAGCCGAGGCCGACAGGCGUAGGCGAUGGACAACAGGUUGAUAUUCCUGUACCACCUCUUUAUCGUUUGAGCAAUGGAGGGACGCAGAAGGAUAGAAGAAGCGUGCGAUUGGUUGUGCACGUCCAAGCAGUUAGGCUGAUAAGUAGGCAAAUCCGCUUAUCAUAAAGGCUGAGCUGUGAUGGGGAAGCUCCUUAUGGAGCGAAGUCUUUGAUUCCCCGCUGCCAAGAAAAGCUUCUAGCGAGAUAAAAGGUGCCUGUACCGCAAACCGACACAGGUAGGCGAGGAGAGAAUCCUAAGGUGUGCGAGAGAACUCUGGUUAAGGAACUCGGCAAAAUGACCCCGUAACUUCGGGAGAAGGGGUGCUUUCUUAACGGAAAGCCGCAGUGAAUAGGCCCAAGCGACUGUUUAGCAAAAACACAGCUCUCUGCGAAGCCGUAAGGCGAAGUAUAGGGGGUGACACCUGCCCGGUGCUGGAAGGUUAAGGAGAGGGGUUAGCGUAAGCGAAGCUCUGAACUGAAGCCCCAGUAAACGGCGGCCGUAACUAUAACGGUCCUAAGGUAGCGAAAUUCCUUGUCGGGUAAGUUCCGACCCGCACGAAAGGUGUAACGAUUUGGGCACUGUCUCAACCAGAGACUCGGUGAAAUUAUAGUACCUGUGAAGAUGCAGGUUACCCGCGACAGGACGGAAAGACCCCGUGGAGCUUUACUGUAGCCUGAUAUUGAAUUUUGGUACAGUUUGUACAGGAUAGGCGGGAGCCUUUGAAACCGGAGCGCUAGCUUCGGUGGAGGCGCUGGUGGGAUACCGCCCUGACUGUAUUGAAAUUCUAACCUACGGGUCUUAUCGACCCGGGAGACAGUGUCAGGUGGGCAGUUUGACUGGGGCGGUCGCCUCCUAAAGUGUAACGGAGGCGCCCAAAGGUUCCCUCAGAAUGGUUGGAAAUCAUUCGUAGAGUGCAAAGGCAUAAGGGAGCUUGACUGCGAGACCUACAAGUCGAGCAGGGACGAAAGUCGGGCUUAGUGAUCCGGUGGUUCCGCAUGGAAGGGCCAUCGCUCAACGGAUAAAAGCUACCCCGGGGAUAACAGGCUUAUCUCCCCCAAGAGUCCACAUCGACGGGGAGGUUUGGCACCUCGAUGUCGGCUCAUCGCAUCCUGGGGCUGUAGUCGGUCCCAAGGGUUGGGCUGUUCGCCCAUUAAAGCGGUACGCGAGCUGGGUUCAGAACGUCGUGAGACAGUUCGGUCCCUAUCCGUCGUGGGCGUAGGAAAUUUGAGAGGAGCUGUCCUUAGUACGAGAGGACCGGGAUGGACGCACCGCUGGUGUACCAGUUGUUCUGCCAAGGGCAUAGCUGGGUAGCUAUGUGCGGAAGGGAUAAGUGCUGAAAGCAUCUAAGCAUGAAGCCCCCCUCAAGAUGAGAUUUCCCAUAGCGUAAGCUAGUAAGAUCCCUGAAAGAUGAUCAGGUUGAUAGGUUCGAGGUGGAAGCAUGGUGACAUGUGGAGCUGACGAAUACUAAUAGAUCGAGGACUUAACCAUAUAA
rnacentral:rRNA from 1 species